AACGAACGCUGGCGGCAUGCCUAGCACAUGCAAGUCGAACGUGAUCCAGGCUUCGGUCUGGUGAAAGUGGCAGACGGGUGAGUAACGCGUGGGAACCUGCCCUGUGGUAGGGAAUAACCGCGGGAAACUGCGGCUAAUACCCUAUGUGUCCUGAGGGACAAAGAUUUAUCGCCAUAGGAGGGGCCCGCGUCGGAUUAGGUAGUUGGUGGGGUAACGGCCUACCAAGCCAUCGAUCCGUAGCUGGUCUGAGAGGAUGAUCAGCCACACUGGGACUGAGAUACGGCCCAGACUCCUACGGGAGGCAGCAGUGGGGAAUAUUGGACAAUGGGGGCAACCCUGAUCCAGCAAUGCCGCGUGGAUGAUGAAGGCCUUCGGGUUGUAAAGUCCUUUCGGCGGGGAAGAUGAUGACGGUACCCGCAGAAGAAGCCCCGGCUAACUUCGUGCCAGCAGCCGCGGUAAUACGAAGGGGGCUAGCGUUGUUCGGAAUUACUGGGCGUAAAGGGCGCGUAGGCUGUGCUGCAAGUCAGGCGUGAAAGGCCCGGGCUCAACCUGGGAACUGCGCAUGAUACUGCGGCGCUUGAAGACGGGAGAGGAUGGCGGAAUUCCCAGUGUAGAGGUGAAAUUCGUAGAUAUUGGGAAGAACACCGGUGGCGAAGGCGGCCAUCUGGCCCGUGAUUGACGCUGAGGCGCGAAAGCGUGGGGAGCAAACAGGAUUAGAUACCCUGGUAGUCCACGCCGUAAACGAUGAGUGCUAGACGUCGGGGAGCUUGCUCUUCGGUGUCGCCGCUAACGCAUUAAGCACUCCGCCUGGGGAGUACGGUCGCAAGAUUA
rnacentral:rRNA from 1 species